rnacentral:rRNA from 1 species
UACGGAGGGUGCAAGCGUUGUCCGGAUUUAUUGGGGUUAAAGGGUGCGUAGGCGGCCCUGUAAGUCAGUGGUGAAAUACUGCAGCUUAACUGUAGCAUUGCCAUUGAUACUGUAGGGCUUGAGUACAGAUGAGGUAGGCGGAAUUGAUGGUGUAGCGGUGAAAUGCAUAGAUACCAUCAAGAACACCGAUUGCGAAGGCAGCUUACUAAGCUGUAACUGACGCUGAGGCACGAAAGCGUGGGGAUCGAACAGG